GACGAACGCUGGCGGCGUGCUUAACACAUGCAAGUCGAGCGAUGAAGCACCUUCGGGUGUGAAUUAGCGGCGAACGGGUGAGGAACACGUGAAGAAUCUGCCUUCAACUCUGGGAUAACUCCGGGAAACCGGGGCUAAUACCGGAUAUGAGCCUUGACCGCAUGAUCGGGGCUGGAAAGUUUUUCGGUUGAAGAUGACUUCGCGGCCUAUCAGCUUGUUGGUGAGGUAAUGGCUCACCAAGGCGACGACGGGUAGCCGGCUUGAGAGGACGACCAGCCACACUGGGACUGAGACACGGCCCAGACUCCUACGGGAGGCAGCAGUGGGGAAUUUUGGACAAUGGGGGCAACCCUGAUCCAGCCAUUCCGCGUGUGCGAUGAAGGCCUUCGGGUUGUAAAGCACUUUUGGCAGGAAAGAAAUCGCACGGAUUAAUACUCUGUGUGGAUGACGGUACCUGCAGAAUAAGCACCGGCUAACUACGUGCC
rnacentral:rRNA from 1 species